UACCGAGGGGGCAAGCGUUGUUCGGAAUUACUGGGCGUAAAGGGCGCGUAGGCGGCCUGCUAAGUCGAACGUGAAAUCCCUGGGCUCAACCCAGGAACUGCGUCCGAUACUGGUUGGCUUGAAUCCGGGAGAGGGACGUGGAAUUCCAGGUGUAGCGGUGAAAUGCGCAGAUAUCAGGAGGAACACCGAUGGCGAAGGCAGCUCGCUGGGACGGUACUGACGCUGAGGCGCGAAAGCGUGGGGAGCAAACAGG
rnacentral:rRNA from 1 species